UGUCUAAGUAUGAAGUAACUACGGUAACUUCUGCAGAUUAUGACAGUUCUCCAGUUCUACAUACUCCAAUCUGCGAGGCAGAUUCUGCCCUUCCUCGGAAAGGGACACUACUAAGUCAUAAUGCCUAAUCACCAGAUGCCGAAGCGAUGCUAGGAAACAUUCAGGUAGAUAUUCAUUUGAAAGAUUAGACAGUUGUAAUGAAGUGAGUUUUG
rnacentral:misc_RNA from 1 species